CUACAAUUUAAAGAGUUCGAAAGAUUGUUAUGAGUAACAUUGAAUGUCUGAAUUACGUACAAUUGCAUACAAACUUAUGACUGAAAUUAAGUUGGGCAGAUGGUCUCACUGCUCACAUGGUUUUAAACAGUCGCAGUUCGAAAAUACUAUACAGCAUUAAUGUCAUUAUUGACAACGAGUCAUAAGAUUGUAAUGCAGGUGUCUUUGGUUUAUGUAUAAGCUAUUGAAAAAUACAUUUUUUUUGUUUUUGAAAUACAUAUCUGUUCUGCGUAUUUCAUAAACAAUGGUUAAUUGUUUACGCAUUCACAUACAGUGAAUCGUCUGAGACGGACGUGGUUACAUAUAGAUAGUGUUCGGUAAAACAGUGUGGUAGAAUAAAAUGAAAAUGCCUCUGGUGCAGCAUCAAGGCGAUUUGUCUGGCGUAGACAUAGCAGAAACUACUCAAAACCCGCCGCCAUACAAUAACCAGAUGCAAACAGAUUUAUAUCAUGUCGUUCCCACUGUGCCGACUCAACAGUUCAUCACAGUUCAAGCGCCGCAAAUGGGCCCUAAGCCUGCACGCUAUACCUGCCCAAGCUGCAAAGCGUCCAUCACGCCCAGAGUAGAAUAUGUAUCGGCGACGAAAACCCACCUGUGUGCUUUACUCCUUUGCUGUCUAUGUUGCUGGCCCUGUGCUUGCAUUCCUUACUGCGGCAAAAGCUGCCGAAACGCCACACACUACUGUCCGAACUGCAACGCGUAUAUCGGGAGUUACAUCGGUUAAUCAUCUUAAUUUUUGUACGUUUACGAUUGUUCGUGGCAGCCUACAUGGCGUUUUGUAUUCUGACUAAUCAUUGUGGCUAAAAGUUACGUAGAGUAGGUAUAUGUUACUAAGUAGCUACAUACUGUGCGUUCAUAAAAUUAAUAGAAUUGACGUCAUAAUUAUUAUUGUCUUGAUUCGAAAUUUAAAUGUUUCUAAUGAAUCAUUAUUUUUCAGUCAUUGCGUAGGUACCUAUUUAAAACACAAAAACAAAUGUUUUUGUUUUUGAUUUUUAUGUUCUCUUCAAUUAAUAAGCAGUUUCGUAAAAUUUGUAUUUCUUUCAAAGCUUUUGUUUAAAUCAUACUUUUAAUGAUCUAAAGUCUAAAAUAAUAUAUUUUGAUGGUCAGAGGUUGGUUUAUUAUAAUUUUAACGAGUAAACAUUGAUAGUUUAAUUAUGUGUGGUAUUUUUAAGCAGAAUUUUUGAAAUGUCCUGAACUUUGAUUAUAUAUACGUGUAUAUAAUCAAAGGUCCUGAACGCAUAUUACGUGAUACCUCCACGCUAGUCCUACUUAUUAACACUCUUUACCGUGCAAAAUUCAAACAGACUAAAAAUCUAUAUCAUCAUCAUCAUCAACAGCCCACAGUCGUCCACUGCUGGACAUAAGCCUCUCCCAAUCUACACCACUGAGCCCGGUCUGCUGCUCUCCUCAUCCACUUCUGGCCGGCCACCGUGCGGAGGUCAUCGCACCAUCUAGCCAGGGGGCGUCCCACGUUACGUCUUCCGCUGCGCGGUCUCCACUCGAGAACCCGUCUGCUCCAGCGAUCGUCAGUCCUACGGCAUAUAUGGCCAGCCCACUGCCACUUCAGCUUGCUGACUCUUUGAGCUAUGUCGAUGACUUUAGUUCUCUGUAGAAUAAUCUCAUUCCGGAUUUUAUCCUUCAGAGAAACUCCGAGCAUGGCUCUUUCCAUGGCUCGCUGAGCGACUUUGAGCUGACGGACCAACCUUACUGUGAGUGUCCACGUUUCGGCUCCGUUCAUCACUUUGGUUUUAUCCAUGUUCAUCCGUAGUCCAAUUCGUCGUGAAGAAUCUGCUAAGCCGUUCAGCAUCUGCUGCAGAUGUUGCAACGAUUCCGCCAUGAGAACUAUGUCAUCUGCAAACCGCAAGUGUGAGAUGUACUGGCCAUUAAUGUUUAUGCCCAUCUUUUUCCAGUUCAGCGUCUUAAACAUAUCUUCCAAUGCGUUAGUAAACAGUUUCGGGGAAAUUACAUCCCCCUGUCUCACUCCCCUACGCAAUUGGAUAGGGUUAGACUGCUGAUUCUGUACUCGAACAUUCAUCGUGGCACAGUCGUAAAGGCAUUUCAACACCUGGACAUAGCGAUGGUCUACCUGGCAUCGCCGCAGAGAGUCCAGAACAGACCAAGUCUCGAUGGAGUCGAAAGCCUUCUCAUAAUCCACGAAUGCUAAACACAGGGGCCGAUUAAAUUCUGUGGUCUUUUCUAUAAGCUGCCGCACUGUGUGUAUGUGGUCUAUGGUUCCAUAGCCGCUCCGAAACCCAGCCUGCUCUGGGGGCUGAAAUUCGUCGAACUUUCUUGCCAGGCGAUUUGUGAUGACUCGUGAGAACAACUUAUAGAUGUGGUUCAGGAGAGAGAUUGGUCUGUAGUUCUUUAAAAGAGUUUUGUCUCCUUUUUUGAAAAAAAGUACCACAAUGCUGUUGUUCCACGCCUUCGGAGUUCUCCCGCGGUGAAUGACGUGGCUGAAAAGCUUCCGUAGCUCUACUAAGAGAGGUGGUCCUCCUGCUUUCAAUAGCUCAGUUGUUAUACCAUCAUCUCCGGGGGCUUUUCCAUUCUUGAGUUGUCUCAGAGCCAAUCUUAUUUCGUCCACACUGACGUCCGGCAGCUCAUCGGUGAAAUGGCGCGUGAGUGGGGCUCUACAAUCGUGACAGUUCUGUACAGGACGGGUGGUGCAGGACUCAUACAGCUGACCGUAAUAUUUUUCAAUCUCAGCGAGAAUUCCCAUCUGCGACAUAAUGACGCUACCAUCGGAGGUCUUGAGUUUCGAUAAACGACUUCUCUUAAGCUGCUGGUUAAAUACCUUCGACCCACGGUUUUGUUCAAUGGCUCUUUCAAUUCUUCGAGUAGUGGAGCGUCGAAGGUCACGUCGAACCAAUUUCGUUAUCUGCUUGCUGAGAGCCGAUCGUCCUGACGGAGAGGCGGAUGUGUCCUGACGCCGUAUGGCCAUGAGUCGCAACGUCUCGUCUGAGAGUUCGGAUUUUUUUCCCGUUCGCUUCCCGCUGAAAAAUUUUGCACCCUCUUCCCUCAUGAGUGUGACCAGAUUUUCGAGGUUUUCGUCAACAUCAUCAGUGGUUUCCAAGUUAACAAAUCGAUUUUCCAAGGUUUUAUGGAAAACUUCUGAACCUGCACUGAUUUGGAGCUGGCUAGGUCGGAGUGUAGACUGUAUCAUGCGGUAUCUUUCCAAUCGAGUGUCUAUGCUCAGCGUAGCUCUUACUAGCCGGUGGUCGCUUCCGGUGUUAAACCUGUUGACCACUGAGACAUCCCUAAAUAACCGUUUUUUGUCCGCAAUGAUAAAAUCAAUCUCAUUUUUCGUUACAGUGUCCGGGCUUCGCCAUGUCCAUUUUCUUUGGGGCUGCUUUUUAAAAAAUGAGUUCAUUAAGAAUAGCUCCUCUUGCUCUAGAAAGUUAACGAGCAUUUGCCCCCUAUCGUUCCUGCUUCCAAAUCCAUGUGGUCCCACUCUUGAUUCGUCACACAUCUGUACACCCACUUUGGCAUUAAAGUCGCCCAUGACAACAUUGAAAAAUCUAUAUAUAUAAAAAUAAAUUGCUGUUCGUUAGUCUCGCUAAAACUCGAGAACGGCUGGACCGAUUUGGCUAAUUUUGGUCUUGAAUUAUUCGUGGAAGUCCAGAGAAGGUUUAAAAGGUGAAUAAAUAUGAAAAUGCUUGGAGUUAUAUAAAAACAAACAAUUUUGUUUUUCCUUUGAUAUGUCCCCCGUCGGACGGAUUCGUUUUGUUUGUUUUAAGUUUGUUUUAUACAAGAGCUUAGGUCUUUUAUUUAUCGAUUGAGUCAUUACGAAGUCUGCCGGCUCAGCUAGUUAAGAAUAAAAACGACCCCAUAUUAGUCGAAAAUUACCAACGGUUUUUGUGGUCUACUCCAAAGUAUACUUGCAGAAUGCUUUCCGAGUCGAGUUUCGGGUGGAUAAGUGCCCAUGAGUAAUAUACGUUCAAAUUAAAAAGACGGUUGAUUCUAUUGAUUCUUGAUUUUCAUUGCUAAGUAAUUUCUUAAUUAUUUUAAUAUUACAUAUAGUUACCGUUUAAGUUUUAUGAUGCGUCAUGAGAGUGAUUUUUGUUUUUGUGCUUAACCAAUAAACCAACCAAGAUAUGUAGAUUGUUUGUAUUUGUUGAUUACUGUGAGUCUAUAGAUAUCAUAAAGUAAAUACCGGCGUCCUUUUCUUAUUUUUAUAAUCCUUCAGAGGUGAACUGGAGGAUGCUUUAGAAAUAGGUAGAAUAUUAACACCUACUAGUUUUCUAAUGCGAAUAGUUAAUAUACGCUUCACUCCUCGUAAAGUUAGAGAUGGGGGGCAGAAGGAACUCGGGAAGAAGAGUGUGAUUGAGAAGAGGUAAAUUGCGCAUGAUUUCACGGAAUACAGUAAACGUAUUCUAUACUAAACCUAGCUAAAGAUAUUCGGGGCUCUGUACAAGUAAACGCAAAUAAGUAAUUAAUAGAAACGAAAAAAAAAAUACUAUUACGAACACUUAUCCUUUAUAUAUUGUUUUUAUGUCGUCAAAACUGAAUCAGCUACGAGAUAAAAUUGAUGUAGACGAAGACGAUGUUUUGUUUGUACGUUAAGGCGCAUUUAGCUUAAAAUGAAUUAAGUUUCAAGUAAAGUUUGCAAUGGAAAGCUUUUUUUUGUUGUUUAAUGAUUCUUUUUUAUAUAGACAUGAAAAAGAAAUAUGUUUAAAUGCUUAAGUUGUGUUUAAAAAAAUGUUAAAUUUAUGGAUUAAAUCCGAUAUGUGUAGUAAAAUUAUAAAAUAGCUUGUUUCAUUUUUAGUAAAAAAAAAACAUGUGCUUGCUGUCCUUACUCCCUUCACGAGUAUGCAUUUACAUGACGCAUUAUCUAUAUACAAGAGGUCCCGCAGUAGUCGAAAUUCGACUAUAAUUAAUUAGAGUUGUAAGUUUGUACACUAUUAUGAUUGUAUUUUAUACUUCUAUAAUCACAAAUAUCGCCAAGACUACACUAUAAAAAGUAUUAACAAAGACAAACAAUAUUUAAUCUAUUCUCAAUUUGACGGCAGACGUCAAGAACAAAAGUUUGACAAUAAACAGUAUCCAUGCGUGUGUGCGUCAAAUACAUGGUAUGUAGUGUGUGUAACGUUUUCCUUAUUGAUUUAAUGUAUCUUUUACGCAUUAUUUUAAAAAAAUAUUAGCAUUGUGCACUUCUUCUCUAUAUUCUCUAUAAGUGUGGAAAAUUUCAUACUCCUCCGUCCGCGCAAUUUUCGUAAAAAGGGAUACAAAGUUUUUGCUUCACGUAUUAAUCUAUAUAUUAAUACGUGAAGCAAAAACUUUUCCACACUUAUAGAGAAUGUGGUAUUCGGAGCUAAGCUAGGGCUGGGAGGAGUUUCACACUGAACACCUCUUAUUUUUGUGAUGUAGUCUUCAAAGAACAGAACUAAUCAAGAUCCACUUUUGGGGUGUAAUCUCGCGUUUUUUAUUUCCAAAGUUUCGAAUACUAUACAGUCAUACAAACUGCUAGACUUCAAGAUACUGUAAGGUCGUUCUGUGUGAAAUGAAACGUGAAAGUCUAGAAAUAUAGAAAAAAUAGACGGUAGGUGCACAAUAUUAAAAUCUCACGGCCAACCUAUACCCUGGGCCAGGAAGGUCAAGUACCUGAGAGUCACCCUGGAUGCAUCCAUGACAUUCCGCCCGCAUAUAAAAACAGUCCGCGACCGUGCCGCAUUUGUUCUCGGCAGACUAUCCCAUGAUCUGUAAGCGGAGUAAAAUGUCCUUUCGGAACAAGGAACAACUUGCAGAAGGCCCGUCAUGACUUACGCGAGUGUGGUGUUCGCUUACGCGGCCCGCACAAAUAUAGACACCCUCAAUCCCUACAAUCCCGCUUUUGCGGGUUAGCCGUCGGGGCUCCGUGGUUCGUGUGGAACGUUGAUCUACACGACGACCUGGGUCUCAAUCCGGAAAUACAUGAAGUCAGCUUCGGAACGGUACUAAGGCUAUGCGUCAUGAUAAUCGCCUUAUCUUUGCCGCCGCUGACUACUUCCCGAAUCCUGAUCAGGCAGGAGCCAGUCACCGUCGAUGCCCUAGACACGUCCUUACGGAUCCAUCAGAUCCAAUAACUUUGGCAUUAGACGUCUUCAGCUCCAACACUAGGAGUAGGCUUAGGAACUUCGGUAACCUUACUUGUCGAACUCGACAAAGAGGUCGAUAUUCAACCUAACCCAUGCAUCAGCCCGCUGAGCUCCUCGCCGGAUCUUCUCAACGGGUCGCGAUUCCGAUCCGGUAGUAGAUUCAUUCGCGGAGCAAUUGCUCUUGAGUUGUUAGGUCUCCUUCGUAAGCGUUUGGGCAGUUGUUAGCAAAUCCCACCCCUCCUGGCUGAGCCUUUGCUGUGCCCACCUGUCCUGGUGAAACUGUAAAAACCUCCGGGCCACCAGUAAUCUUACAAUCCUGAAAAAAAACAGGUAUCUCCAUGUUUAUUUCAUCCUCAAAGAAAUCGUACAAUAAUAUAAUGCAAUCGAGACUUUGAUUUCAUGUUAAAAGGUCAUUUCAGGUUGUUUAUAGUUUCAGGUAACAAAUGCAAUACCAGACAACGAAAGUACAGCAUCAAAACAAUGGCUAAAAAUUUAAAAACAACUUUAAAAGUAAAUAACAAUAUAGCAGCAGUUCAUAGCAGUAAUUCUUCGAACAGCAAAAACAAAACAACUUCUCUAAUUAAAUUACACAUCACUUGAACAUUAUGUAAAACAUCAAUCUUUAUUUGUUUUAGAGACUAAAUUACAAUCCCUUAGCUUCUACACAAAAAAACCCACUUUGUAUUUCUUUUUUAUAAAGUGGCUUACGUGGAAGUUGACGUCUCACUUGGUGGUAAGUGGUGGUAAGCCGUUGCUCAUAGACAUUGGCAAUGCCAUGUCGUUAUUCACCAAGUUUUUAAUAUUUAAGCCUUAUUUGAUGAAGAAUGUGUGCGUAGAAUUGCAAAGAAAGUUUCUUUUGCUUAGUUUAGUUAGUUCCUUUAGUUUGCGCCUGGUUAAUAAAACCGAAUCACGAUUGUAUGAUUUGAAUGUGUGUAUUUUUGUGGUUGCUAUCUCCUUAAUUAGGAACUGUUUUUAUUUAGGAUUUAAAAGAUCUAAAACUAGGCAUCUUGUUUUGUUGGGGCCUUUUCUUUCUUCUCCAUCGCUCCCUCAUUGCUGAGGAUCGUGACUCCGUUUGAGCUUGUCGACUGCCAGUCUCCAUCGGUUCCAGUCAGUUUCCUGGUGUAGUGCAGCGCUAAGUGGUCCGCUGGUUUGCUCGGAGAUCUGGUCGGACCAACGUUUGGGGCUCCGGCCUCUAGAACCUUUUCCUUCUACUUUUCCAGUGACCAUCAGAUGUUCCAAGUUGUACACCUCUACGGGCAACGUGGCCAAAGUUGCGCAUUAUACGUUGCAGACAGGUGGCAGACAGGCGUUGAGCGUUCUCUUUUUUAAGCUGUUGUAGGACCGAGAUGUUCGUGCGGUGGGCUGUCCAUGGAAUCCUUAAUAGGCGGCGCUAACACCACAUUUCAAAAGCAUCAACUCUUUUCCAUGUUUCUGCUCCAUAGAAAGCGAUUGGAAAGACAAGUGACUGCACAAGAUGUAUUUUGGCCCUAUUCGAAUCGAGAACUGUCCUUUUCGAUGCGUUCGUUCCCAAACAUUUGCCAUCAUACAAAGUUAUUAUAUUAUAUUAAUUAAGGAGCAAUAUAAAGAGCAACAAUAUAUUGUGUCCUAAAAUCAUUAUGUUCAAUAUGUGGUCCACCUAGGUCCUGGAACCAGCUCAGGGGGGGGUCAUGACCCCCAUAACCCCCCCACCCUGGAUCCGCCCUUGUGAAUGACCAUGUGGUUUUGGACCAUGAAUUGAAUGACCAUGUCUUUUUGGUAAAUGUGAGAAUGGCAUACAAAAUACGAAAUCGCAAGUGCUAUAGUAGAAUUAUUUUGUCCGUGCCGUUUGGCUCAUAAAAAAUCGGAGCGGUGAAGCGAGUAUUUCGCUCUCUCUUCCACUCCCGAGCCUUAGGGACGGGCAUAGUGAGGCGCAUUAUUGUUGUCGAUAAGCGUUUUAGUUUUGUCAUUUUGUGGGUUAGUGAUAAAAAUGAAAGAAAAAAUCACCAAUCGAACACUUACACCACAUAUCGCCACAGCAAGUUAACGAGAACGCCAGAAAUUAACACUUUGUAACUUUUCGGGAUCUAUUCUUAUUUCAGUGAACAAUUUUAACACAUUGUUGAUAAUAACACGUGCUUGUGCUGGUAUAUUUUUGCCAACAAGCAAAAUAUUUGAAUAAAUUCUGCCGUUUUGGUACAAAACAAAGGAGAAGCCAUUGUGUCACUAAAGAAAUUCAGAGAGCGAAUGCACAAAAUCACAUUUCUCUUCGUCAUAAGAACUUUUUAUCGAUAAUGGCGUAGCGCCCGCGCAACAUGCUCACCGCCCUGGACGGGCUAUGUUUUAUGACCCAAACUGAACGGACAAAAUAAUUCUACUAUAUUAAUGCGGUGCGCAUGCGCACCACUACAACCUAACCUAACCUAACCUACGACAUAAUAAUUUGCAAAGAAAAGUAUGUUUUGUUUGUUAUUUAUAUUUUUUAAUUAUAAUAAUUUUCGUUAUUAAAGCCUUUUGUAUUAUGUUUAUUUAAAUACAUUUUUUUUUACUGCAACAACAUCAUUAAUUUAUUUGUAUUUACUGUAACUUUUCUUAAAACAUGAAUGUAAGAGUAUACAUUUACCAAAACGUGAAGGCAAGAGUACACAUUUGCCGGAAAACAUACAUAUAUAUUAUAUUCAGUUCACGUAUACCUAACUUUUUGGCAAAUGUGCACAUUUACCGGUAAAAGUGUACAUUUCCCAAGAGUGUGCAUUUACCGUAACAUAAUAUAAUAUAUUAUACAAGAAUUGCUCGUUUAAAGAUAUCAAAGAUAUCAAUGCUUAAAAGAACGAAUAUGAAUGAACGAAAAAUGCUCUCGAGCUGCCAAUCGAAUGCACGCGAUUACACAUUCAAAAACAGGGGAUCGUCGGACGCGGACGUACGGAAUUGUGUUCGUGCCGACAUUAUAUAUUGCGUGUCGUGAAAUAACAACUAAAAUGGCUAACUUUGAACAUAAAGGAAAUCUGUCUGGCGCGAACUAUGGGCCUCCUCCACAAAAUCCGCCUCCUUACAACUAUCAGCCCCAGCAAGUUCCAUAUGCUAAUGUUCCUAUCGUCCCCGUCGUGGCUCCUCAACAAUUCGUGACGGUUGUGCAAGCGCGACCAAUGGGCCCUGAACCAUCAAGUUUAACAUGCCCCUCCUGUAACGCGGUCAUCGUAACUAGGGUUCAACACGAUGCUUCGAGCAAGACUCAUCUUUUUGCGUUAAUCCUUUGUUUGAUAGGAUGCUGGCCAUGUGCUUGCAUCCCUUACUGCAUGGAAAGCUGUCAAAAUGCUACUCAUUACUGUCCGAAUUGCAACGCCUACAUUGGAACCUAUACAAAUUGAUGAGUUUGUGAUAAAUGCAAAUAAAAAAAAAAAACAUUAUUUCAGUUGGGCGUACAUAUAUCUCUCUUCAACUGUUUAUUCUCUUGUGAACUUUAUAUUAAAUAUGUCACAAUAUAUCCUUCCCCAAUUUGAAAAAAAUCAUUAGAUAUUGUGGUCAAGAACAUUUUAUUUAUGUUUUGUUAUAUUUAUAAUAAACUAUUUUGCGACAAAUUUUCCAAUAUUGGGAUGAGUUAUUAUAGCACAAAUAUGUAUAAAAAAAGACCUAUACAGCCAUAAUUAAAUUGUAAAGAUUUAAUCUCGGUUUUUUUAAAUUGUGUAUAUAUUAUUUGUGACGUUUUAAAUACUUUACAGCUUUCCCGGUCACAGAUGAUUAAGGUGAAUUAUUCAUCGACUGGAAUAUUGUUUUACUACUGGCCUACUGCCAGUUAUACUGCCUACCUAUAGCUAUACUACUAAUGGUACCUCAACUAAUGGUGUCUCAUAUCAUUUUGAUUAAUUAAUAAAUGAUGCUAGGACAUGUCCUUCUUCAAACGAGGCUUGUGGAGAGUAAAAAAGGCAGCGGCUUGGCUUUGGCCUUGGGAUUGCCGACGUCCAUUAGCGACGGUAAUCACUCACCAUCAGACCGUAUGCUCGUCUGCCUACACGGACAAUAAAAAAGUUACAAAGUUAUUUGAACUAGAGGUCCCGCAGUAGUCGAAAUUCGACUAUAAAUAAUUGUAACUGUAAGUUUGUACACUAUUAUGAUUGUAUUUUAUACUUCUAUAACCACAAAUUUCGCUAAGACUACACUAUAAAAAAUAUUAACAAAGGCAAACAAUAUUUAAUUUAUUCUCAAUUUGACAACAGACGUCAAGAACAAAAGUUUCACAAUAAAUAGUGUGCAAGCGUGUGUGCGUCAAAUACAUGGUAUGUAGUGUGUGUAAUGUUUUCUUUAUUGAUUUAAUGUAUCUUAUAUGCAUUAUUUAAAAAAUAUAUUAGCAUUGUGCACUUCUUCUCUAUAUUCUCUAUAAGUGUGGAAAAUUUCAUACUCCCCCGUCCGCGCAAUUUUCGUAAAAAGGGAUACAAGUUUUUGCUUCACGUAUUAAUAUAUAGAUAUAUUAUUAUCUCAAUAGUGUGCUUUUUCAAGAUCACCAAGUGCGAUUAAACGGUCGAUAAGAUAAAACGUCUUGUGCGAAUCUAUGUACAUUUCUGGAAAACAGAUAAGAAGGGUUACAACAUGUAUGUGGUUGUCCAACAUCGGUUAAGUCAGAUUUUAUGAUUUUCACUUCUAAUUGCGCGGAAUUGAGCAUUUCAUGAAACAUGUUGGAACCUUUCAUUUAGUAUUGUAUGCAUUUACAAUAAUAUAUUUAAUAUAUAAAUAAAUAAAUAAAAUAUUUUAUUUAUCAAUAAUGCAUUUCAUCCCAUGUAUCCAUAGUUUGUUGGGUUCUUGGCAUACUACUACCGCUGAUCCGGCGCAGCCUUUUGCUGGACGAGAUGGUGAAUUCUAUGUUAUGUAUCUUAAACCAUAUCACAUCGUCCCCUUAAUGGUUUUUUAUAAGCUCCUCGCUGCGUCUGGCCGUGAACAGCGAAAUACCCAUCCCGUCCAUUAAUAUCCCAAAUUUUUAUCUUGCUGAGAUAUACCUGAAAAGGAAGCUUAAGUUGGCGGUGAUUGACACCUUAGCGGCCUGGGGCUUGUCUAUUGGAAUCACAUGCGUCUGCACAGCUACAGAGCUGUUAUAUGGCUAGCAAUGCCUAAGUUAGCGAAUAUAUUGUCGCUAACAUAGAAUAACAUAAUAUUCUUAUAUUUCGAUGAAGUUGAUAUACAUUUUUUGAAGCACUUCCAAACCUUUAAUGGUUUCAAGCUAACAGAGAAGCAAUAGAAAAAGUUGAGUGAAGUUUUAAUAGAUUGAUUUUAUACAACAUUUCUUACCUAACUCGUUCAAACAGUUGAACACUCUUGUCUAGAGAAAGAUAACCUUUUAUGCCGCUUCGCGAAAUGAUAAGAUAUUGUAGUUUCAUUUGUAAGAACAGCGCUCUUCUUCUUAAUUCAUUUAUAUCAUGUUUUAUGGUAUAAUUCUAACAUAAAAUUUAAGUCUAACGUUUCUGUGAAAAAAAUUACGUACUUGCGUAUAUAAUGGGAAUAUAUUAGCGAAUACCGGAUUCGCUGGGUCCAUCUUGUUGCUGACGGAGGAACUGAAGAAUGUCAGCGGACUAGCGAUCCUGGUGUAGGCUUAAGUGGUCCCUAUCAAUGCGCAUUACAUUCAACUCCAUUCUCCGCAUUCCUAUACCUGUCUAGCUAAUUAUGUCAGAAUUCCCGACCCAUAAUUCCCAAAACUGGAAUGCACGAAACUUUCAAAGUCGUGUUAAGCUUAACGUUACCGAAAUUCUGGCACUUACCACUUCCGCAGGUCGUAUAUGAAGUUAAUGUAGAGAUAAUGCAAUGCUUCGAGUUUUCGAAGAUGAAUAUCAAAAUCAGACUUCUCAGUAAUCAAAAUGACGAAGUAGAAGCGUUGAAGUAAGUAUAUUAUGUAUGUACAUUUUCGUGCGAAAAGAUAGAGAUUUACUUUCGAGAUAUAAAGAACCCUGCUGAUAUAAUAAAUAAUCAUAUUAAUAAUAAUCAUAAUAAGGAAAAGCUGAGAGACAUGUGGAAGAGGACUGAUAUAUUUAAAAAUGCAAUGGAAAAAUUAGUUAAAAAAUCUGCGCAAAUCCUUUAAUAAAAAAAUCUGAUACUAGUAUUAUACACAAAGCUAUUGAAAAAUUAGACGAUAAAUAUAUCCCCCCAAAUCUGAAACAAAACGACAUAGAAUACAAAUUUGCAAAAGUUCUUGAAACAGAAAAAAAAGAGAGAUGGCGUAAGAAGGAACUUCACGGUAGGCACAUACAUGAUCUAGAACAAAAUCACAUUAAAUUAGGAUAUUUAUUUCCAGAAAAGGAGGGCUUUAUGGCCGCGAUUCAGGAUCAAGUGAUAAAUACAAAAAAAAUAUAGAAAAUGCAAUGUGUAAUCAAAGACUCUCAUUUACGAAAUGAUAAAUGCAGAAAAUGUAAUCGUCAAUCCGAAACCAUACAACAUAUAACAAGUGCGUGCCUGACACUCACACAAACCGAUUACACACAUAGGCACAAUCAGGUAGCUCACAUAGUUCACCAAAAGCUAGCUCUGAAAUAGCAGUUUCUAAUACCCAUAAUAUGCAGAAAACAAUAACUGAAAAAACACAUAAAUAUGCAAAAUUAAAGGAAGAAAUUACUAGAGUUUGGAAAUGAGUCAUACCAAAGUACCUUCACCACUCCAUCAAAUUAUUAGAUUUACCCAAAAAUUUAUUUUUUAUCUUGUAAAAAGCCACAAUUUUAAAUACGUGCCGGAUUGUUCGGAAGUUUUUGCAGGAUGAAACAUCAGACGAAAUUAAAACUGCUCCACUUGGCUUCGGUCCGUGGUUUUCAGUAUUUACCGAAAUUCAUAAAAAUUCGAGAAUAAUAACUUUGUACGUAAUAAUAAUAACAUUAACUUAAUAAAAAUUAAUAGUCGACUUAAAAAAAGGAUGACGUCCGAUUGGACUGUGGUUUUUUAUGUGUAUUACCUAAAAACUUUUUUCUUGUAGAUGAGCCGAUUUUGUUUUUUUUUUAGUUAUUUGAAGGAUGGUGCUUAUUUUGUGGUCCCUUAUGAAUUUUCUCAAGAUCUGAUCAGAACGUUUUGAGUUAUCCUUCUAACUAAUGGAUAGUUUAUUAACAACUAAUACAUUAAUACUGUCAUUUUAUUUUAUUGAAGUCCGUUUUAUUUUUUGAUAAAAUUUUGUUAUGCGUUUCUUAAAUUUAUUUAUUUAUUUAUUACACUUCAUGUAAACUUUACAUUGGCGGACUUAAUGCCUAAGGCAUUCUCUACCAGUCAAUUUAAUAGUAGCUAUCAAAUUAUGUCAAAUUGUUUUGAUUACUUCGAAAUUCCCCUUAGUAUGAUUCAAACGAGAAAAAUGUGUUAACUAUUUAUUUAUUUUGUAGAUAGGUAAACAAACGGGCACCUUAAGAAAUGAGGUGGAAGUUUAAAAUGUUUUAUAUAUAUAUAGCGGCAGUCUCAUCGGUAGAAAUAGGGUGCUUCUAGGUACCACAAGCACCGGUCACCGUCCUCGUCAAACCCGUCGCUUGCGACGAAGGGCUCGACGAGUGAAUUAAUCCCACAGACACAGCCCGCUGAGUUUCUCACCGGAUCUUCUCAGUGGGUCGCGUUUCCGAUCCGGUGGUAGAUUCUGCAAAGCACUGCUCUUGUAAGGGCCAGUGUUAGCAACACUUCCGGUUUUAGCCCCGUGAGCCUACACCUACAUGUUAGGUUGAAGCUGAAAUAGCCUCUCAAGGCUAAUCAGCAUAGGUAGGGAAAAAAGGCAGAAAUAGGCAGGGUGAUAGGUAUCUACCCGUGCAGAUGUACAAGAGGCUCUAGAACCAUAAAAUGUCAGUUGGCGAUCGCAGUACGUACUUAUAAUACUCAGAAUUCACUGCCCAUUAUCCUAUGAAUACAUUUCACCUUUUACGAAACCCACAGAAAGAGAUAGGGUAGUGCUAUUGUGGGUCAACACUAGCGCUUUAGCAGUACCAUAAAGCGACGUUACCGUUAUAACGCUUGCUGCUAAAUUAGUUUUCACAAGGUAAUUAUUAAGCAUAUCACUUUUGUUUUUUCGUUUACCUAAUUUCUUCAAUGAUGUAUAAGCGGUCCAUUAUAACAGGUUCAAGUGUUCGUGAUAACUUAUUAAAAAAUUGAAUUACAUCGGUAAGAGUUGAAUUCAAGGUCAAGUAGAUUCGUGUAUUCGACCAAACCGCUCGGCUAAUUAAGAUAAAAAAAUAAAAAAAACUGUCAUAUACCACAAAGCAUACGAUUCAAAAAGAUAACCUUCUGUUACUAUACAUUGCCAUAAAUAAAUUCUUGAUUUUUUUAAAAAUUACAUAUAAAAAAUAAAUUGUAAUACUAGUUUAAUUUUAGAACACAAUUUCUAGACUAUCUAUAUAAAAAUGAAUUACUGUUCGUUAGUCUCGCUAAAACUCGAGAGCGGCUGGACCGAUUUGGCUAAUUUUGGUCUUGAAUUAUUUGUAGAAGUCCAACAAGGUUUAAAAGUUCGACGUUCACAUUACACAUUCAGAUACCGUGGAUCGUCCGAGGCGGACGUGGACGCCAUUCAUUUUUAUAGUUCGUUAAAUAGCUCUGGUAUAACAUUUUGUGAUUCGUGAAACUAAAUCGAAAUGGCCCAUAAUGAACAGAAAACCGAUUUGUCUGGCGUGCACUACGCACCGCCUCAACAAAAUCCGCCUCCGUACAACAACCAGACACAGCCAGGUCUAUACCCGGCCGUUCCUUCCGUCACCCCCGCGCCCCCCCAGCAGUUCGUUACAGUUGUUCCGGCACAACAAAUGGGCCCUGAGCCCACGAACACUAGCUGCCCUUCAUGCAGUGCGGCAAUCGUCACCAGAGUAGAUCACGUGCCAGUGACUAAAACCCACCUGUUUGCUUUGCUUCUUUGCCUAAUAGGUUGUUGCCCAUGUGCUUGUAUCCCUUACUGCACGGACUCCUGCAAAGAUGCAAACCAUUACUGUCCGAAUUGCAACGCGUACAUUGGAAGCUACAAUCGCUAAAUAUUUCAGUUGGUUCAAUAGAUCAUUAACUGUAAAAAUAACAUUCUAGUUCUGUUAUUUAAUUCUAUUUUGAGCUAUGAACUGAGCAUAGCACUAAAUAGAUAUCGCUUUUUACCUUGAAGAACAAAUAGGUCUAAAUGUGUUUGAGGAUACAUAUAAAAACAGAGUUUUAUUUUACAGUAUAAUGUAUAAAUUCAGUCAUUAGUUGCCUAAGUGUUGGCUGCAACUAUACGAUUCUGAAUGUUGGUAUUUUCAAAACAAAACAUUAUCAGUGUUGAUUGUCAAUAAAUUCAAUAUGCUAAGAAAUCUACACUAUUUUUGAUGGAAAACAAUUUUUGUUAUAUUUUUUAAAGAACAAACUUUAAUGUACCUACGUUUUAGACCACACUUUGUAGUUUAAGAUACUUAAAUAUUACGCCUGUAAGCUGCAUUUUCGUAUAUUUCUUGAUCACAUUUAUUUAGUUAAUGUAUUUUAUUACAUUAUGUAAAAGAAUAAAAAAAUU